AGGUACAAGCACAACCCUUGCAAACCCAGCAGGACUCAAAUGAUGUGUGGAUUCUGGGGAGACUUCUGGUCACACCCUCCUUGCUGGUAGUGUUAUGUCCUCUACUUAACAGAAGUGGAGAUCAUCACUUAGAAAGGAUAAAAAGGACUGAACAAAAUCUGUGAGAAUGGAGCAAUCACCCAAGGGCAUGAUGUCUGAGGAUGAGUUGGGAAAUCAAAGCCUAGAUGUUAUAUGCGGC
rnacentral:lncRNA from 1 species